UACGUAGGGGGGCAAGCGUUGUCCGGAAUCAUUGGGCGUAAAGAGCGUGUAGGCGGCUCGAUAAGUCUGCUGUGAAAGUCCAGGGCUCAACCCUGGAAGGCCGGUGGAAACUGUCGGGCUAGAGUCCGGAAGAGGCGAGUGGAAUUCCCGGUGUAGCGGUGAAAUGCGCAGAUAUCGGGAGGAACACCGGUGGCGAAGGCGGGUCUCUGGGCCGAUACUGACGCUGAGGAGCGAAAGCGUGGGGAGCAAACAGG
rnacentral:rRNA from 1 species